rnacentral:rRNA from 1 species
GACGAACGCUGGCGGCGGGCCUAACACAUGCAAGUCGAACGCUCCAGCAAUGGAGAGUGGCAGACGGGUGAGUAACGCGUGGGAACCUUCCCUAUGGUUCGGAAUAGCUCAGGGAAACUUGAGCUAAUACCGUAUACGUCCGUAAGGAGAAAGAUUCAUCGCCCCCUAGACGGGCCCGCGUCGGAUUAGGUAGUUGGUGGGGUAACGGCCUACCAAGCCUACGAUCCGUAGCUGAUCNGAGAGGAUGAUCAGCCACACUGGGACUGAGACACGGCCCAGACUCCUACGGGAGGCAGCAGUGGGGAAUCUUGCGCAAUGCGCGAAAGCGUGACGCAGCAACGCCGCGUGGGGAAGACGCU